CCAGUGGACACUAAUACCACCAUGGACCUGUUGUUCGGGUGCUGGAAGACUCCAGAAGAGCUGCUGAGACAGAACUAGAGAGCUCUGAACUGCACCAUGAGGGAGCUGGACCGAGAACAACAGAAGCUAGAGACCCAGGAGAAGAAAAUCAUUGCAGACAUCAAGAAGAUGGCCAAGCAGGGCCAGAUGGAUGCUGUGCACAUCAUGGCAAAAGACCUAGUGCGCACUAGGCGCUAUGUACGCAACUUUGUUUUGAUGUGGGCCAAUAUCCAGGCUGUGUAGCUCAAGAUUCAGACGCUCAAGUUCAGCAACUCAAUGACUCAAGCCAUGAAGGGUGUCACUAAGGCCAUGGGCACAAUGAACAGACAGCUAAAAUUGCUCCAGAUCCAGAAGAUCAUGAUGGAAUUUGAGCAGCAGGCAGAGAUCAUGGACAUGAAGGAGGAAAUGAUGAAUGAUGCCACUGAUGAUGCCAUGGGUGAUGAGGAAGAUGAAGAGGAGAGUGAUGCUGUUGUAUCCCAGGUCUUGGAUGAGCUGGGACUGAGCCUGACAGAUGAGCUGUCCAACCUCCCCUCUACUGGAGGCUCACUCAGUGUAGCUGCUGGUGAGACAAAACCAGAAGCUGCAGCCUCAGCCCUGGCUGAUGCUGAUGCAGACCCGGAGGAGCGACUCAAGAACCUACGGAGAGUGCCACUUGGGAGUGCAGGGACCAGUGGAUGUCUGGAACCUUUACCAUAAUCACUCUGUAAUUAAAGAGACUGGACACUAAAAAA